rnacentral:ncRNA from 1 species
AUAGCGUGUCGCCGCCGUGGUGUACGGGAAACCGGUCGAAAGCCGGUGCGGCCCUCGCCACUGUAGCUGCGGAGUUCCGCGGCCCUCGCCGACCGCUCCACGGAGCGGUCGGGGCCACUGGGUGGAUCGGGAACGAGCCGUCCGGGAAGGCCGGCCGUGGAAUGUCGAUGCAGAAGCCAGGAGACCGGUCACGGCGCGACAUGUUCC